CAAGUCACGUGCUUAGAGUACAGGAGCCCCUCCCUUUCAGGUAGCCACGGCAAGGAGGGGAGGCACAUACAUCAGCAUCUUUCUACGCACUUAUCAGAAAGAUCAAAGGCUUUUGGGAUUCCUCUGUUGCUUCUCACGACUUCUAAGAACUUAAAAAGAGCACCAGGUGGGAAAGCAGAACACGAAAGUGGACAAGGAUGGUGACCAUCGGAGCACAGCACCACAGAGAGGCAUUUAAGCCCCUGGAUGCUGGGUGUGGUGGCUCAUGCCUCUAAUCCCAGCA